UGGGGAAUUUUGGACAAUGGGCGCAAGCCUGAUCCAGCCAUGCCGCGUGCGGGAAGAAGGCCUUCGGGUUGUAAACCGCUUUGUCAGGGAAGAAAUCUUCUGAGUUAAUACCUCGGGAGGAUGACGGUACCUGAAGAAUAAGCACCGGCUAACUACGUGCCAGCAGCCGCGGUAAUACGUAGGGUGCAAGCGUUAAUCGGAAUUACUGGGCGUAAAGCGUGCGCAGGCGGUUUUGUAAGACAGAGGUGAAAUCCCCGGGCUCAACCUGGGAACUGCCUUUGUGACUGCAAGGCUUGAGUGCGGCAGAGGGGGAUGGAAUUCCGCGUGUAGCAGUGAAAUGCGUAGAUAUGCGGAGGAACACCGAUGGCGAAGGCAAUCCCCUGGGCCUGCACUGACGCUCAUGCACGAAAGCGUGGGGAGCAAACAGGAUUAGAUACCCUGGUAGUCCACGCCCUAAACGAUGUCAACUGGUUGUUGGGAAGGUUCCUUCUCAGUAACGUAGCUAACGCGUGAAGUUGACCGCCUGGGGAGUACGGCCGCAAGGUUGAAACUUAAAGGAAUUGAC
rnacentral:rRNA from 1 species